rnacentral:rRNA from 1 species
UACGUAGGGUGCGAGCGUUAAUCGGAAUUACUGGGCGUAAAGCGUGCGUAGGCGGUUCGUUAAGUCAGCUGUGAAAGCCCCGGGCUCAACCUGGGAACUGCGGUUGAAACUGGCGAACUAGAAUCUGGCAGAGGGGGGUGGAAUUCCACGUGUAGCAGUGAAAUGCGUAGAGAUGUGGAGGAACACCGAUGGCGAAGGCAAUCCCCUGGGCCUGCACUGACGCUCAGUGCACGAA